GAGACACAUUUGCGGGCGUGAGGUCACUCCGCCGCCGUCGCGUCGCGCAUUGCAUUCCCACUAAAUCUACUUUUAAAGUCUAAGCCCUCAACUGGGGGCUCAGUUUGCCUUUCGCAGCUGAAUCGGCAGUGCUUUUGAAAGACAAUUCACAAGUAGUCUACCGUGAAUGCGACACCUGCUGUGGCCUUCAACGACGUGCGAUCGACAAGCAUGGCUUCAAUAGAUUACGCGAAGGUGCCCAUCCAGGAGAAGCCGUUGCACACUCCACCACUCCAAGAGAUUGUUAAAGUGCUAUCGCGCGCUUUGCCGGCUACAUUUGAGUUUGUGGAGGCAUCCGUGGCCGACACGCCAGACCUCACUCGACCGCCUUUUCUUCUUACUUCACCAGGUACAUAUUAUGUAUACUAGUCUCAUU